rnacentral:rRNA from 1 species
GGGAAAUNGGUUCUAAUACCGANUAUNNCUUUCCAUANCANGGUGGUGGUGAAAGUUUUUGUGGUUUUGGAUGGACUCGCGGCCUAUCAGCUUGUUGGUGAGGUAAUGGCUUACCAAGGCGACGACGGGUAGCCGGCCUGAGAGGGUGACCGGCCACACUGGGACUGAGACACGGCCCAGACUCCUACGGGAGGCAGCAGUGGGGAAUAUUGCACAAUGGGCGCAAGCCUGAUGCAGCGACGCCGCGUGAGGGAUGACGGCCUUCGGGUUGUAAACCUCUUUCAGUAGGGAAGAAGCGAAAGUGACGGUACCUGCAGAAGAAGCGCCGGCUAACUACGUGCCAGCAGCCGCGGUAAUACGUAGGGCGCAAGCGUUAUCCGGAAUUAUUGGGCGUAAAGAGCUCGUAGGCGGUUUGUCGCGUCUGCCGUGAAAGUCCGGGGCUCAACUCCGGAUCUGCGGUGGGUACGGGCAGACUAGAGUGAUGUAGGGGAGACUGGAAUUCCUGGUGUAGCGGUGAAAUGCGCAGAUAUCAGGAGGAACACCGAUGGCGAAGGCAGGUCUCUGGGCAUUAACUGACGCUGAGGAGCGAAAGCAUGGGGAGCGAACAGGAUUAGAUACCCUGGUAGUCCAUGCCGUAAACGUUGGGCACUAGGUGUGGGGGACAUUCCACGUUUUCCGCGCCGUAGCUAACGCAUUAAGUGCCCCGCCUGGGGAGUACGGCCGCAAGGCUAAAACUCAAAGGAAUUGACGGGGGCCCGCACAAGCGGCGGAGCAUGCGGAUUAAUUCGAUGCAACGCGAAGAACCUUACCAAGGCUUGACAUGGACCGGACCGCCGCAGAAAUGUGGUUUCCCCUUUGGGGCUGGUUUACAGGUGGUGCAUGGUUGUCGUCAGCUCGUGUCGUGAGAUGUUGGGUUAAGUCCCGCAACGAGCGCAACCCUCGUUCUAUGUUGCCAGCACGUGAUGGUGGG